rnacentral:misc_RNA from 1 species
AAGAAAAGAAAAGAAAAGAAAAACAGGAAAUGAGUACAGACAGGCAAGCACUAUCAAGUCACAUAAAUUCCUUGGUAUCUACCAAACUAACAACCACCCAAAGCUCACUUACUUAUCAAAAAAUUGGUUGCAAUGGUCAGAAUCUCACUGACUAUUGAUGAUUCCUAAGGUGAAUUCUGAGAAAGAAAGACUCCUGUUGACAUCCAAAUGAAAGAACAAAAAAGGGGCUUUCUCCAACCGGCUAAGAAAAAAAAGGCAAAAGUAACUGCAAUCUGAAUGCGACCCUUCAUAGGCUAGUUAAAUAUAUCUCGUAAACUUCGACAAACCCAACAAACAUUACAAUACAACAAUGAAAUCCAAAUCAAUUUUCAACGCCAUCCAAUUUACACUCUCAAUAAAUUUUACAAAACAAAUAUUUUCCUCUUAGAAAACGAUGAUCUCCGUACUUUCCAAACAAAAUAUCAAAAUCUCCAAAAAUUUCCCUGCACCUACUUCCUUACAAUUCUCAAAGAAUCAAAAUCUCCAAAGCCCUGUUUUCAGAUUUUCUUGAAAGAACCAAAAUCUCCAAUAGAUAUUAAAGAAAUAUUCUAUACCAAGUCCCAAAUUUUACCUCCACAGAACCCACGUCCAAAUUUACAAUAAAAAACCAAAAUCUCCAAUCCUCAUCUACAAAUAUGCAAGAGCCGUAAAAACCCAGAUCAAGUGCCUCCCUCUGCCCGGAGAUAGUGAUCAAAAAAAUUGACCAAAUGCAUACCAAAGAAAUACGAAAAUUAAGAUAGAGCAACACUAGAAUGUCAAGAAGAAAAUUGAUUGCCUAUAUAUCUGGCGAAGUUAAAAUUUAGCAAAAUUGAAAAUUGGAAGAGCAAAAGAGAUUAUGAAAAAGCAUAAACUUUAAAAAAUAAAAAAAUAAAAAAAUUGAAAUACGGGCUCAUAAAGAGAGCGACUGUUAACUGCAACCUCAACCAACAUAAGGAUAGAGAAUUUUAUAGGAGAAUGCAUGAAAGGCGUGAUCGGAUGUAGAUAAUAAUUUUUGUCCAAUCAACUUCGGUUCUCUCGCGGAGAGAAAAUAAUCCCUUUUUU